UAUAUGUGAUCAUAAUUAUUCUCUUUUAUUUGUUUUAUCUUUGUUAAUCAGUUGCAGAAUUGAGACUAAAAUGAAAGUUGAGGCUAAUUGAGGCUUUGACAAUCUCAUCUCUAAUCUUGUCCUCCAAGGCUUGUGCCACUGUCAGCACUUGCUUCUUGAAUGGAGACUUUUUAGGAAGGGACUAAUUCCUUGCCACUGUUAGCUAUGGCCUAUGUGUGUUGAUGUUGAUGUUGAUAUACAAAUGUUACCAAAUAAAUAAGAGCUCUCUAAAACUCCAAACUUCAAUAAGCAAGUUGAAGACCUGACAUUAAGGUUGCUUAUUGAAAACAAGGAUUUAUUCUCUAUGGGUUGUGAAAGUCCAAAGCAAGCAGAGACCAGAAUGUUGUAAAAGCCUGAGCACAUGAAUAGGCGAUGAAGAAGAACUCUGCUGAUAUUGAAAUGACUUUGGGGAAAGGAAUUUUCUGAUAGAGAGCAUGUUUAGACUUGAAGUCCAGAUUAGAACAUAAGAAAUUGAUUUGAUAGCCAAUAGGUGCAUUGGUGCUCAUGAUAGUGGGAGAGAAUUUGUGACCAACUUGGUUGGAAGUGCAAUUCCUGGUUCUAAAAGCCCAAGAGGUAAGGCAAGAAUGACAACAUCUCAGAUAAAAGGUGGCUAUGAUUUACAUACGACCUGAUACUAUGAGCUAGCUGCCUUGGGAGGUUUUAGUAAACUUUCUGAUUUUCUAAUUUUUGGGUUUGAUGGGGUCGUUGUGUGCUUGUCCUGAUCAUUGACUCUCAUGUUUAAUGAAUUCAACUAACAAAAGAUGGCUUCACUUAGCCUCUUCUACUGAAUGUCCUUUAUUAAGGGAGCAACACGAAUCUGAGCUGCAUUUGUUUAGAGACCGACAAGUGAUCCAGCCUGUUUGAGAGAUGAGGCUCAACAAUGGAUUUUGGAUUAGGCUCCUAAUGUUACUAUGGCUGAACUUUAUUUAUAUUUGGAGUAGUAGUUGUUAAAUCAAUUAGUCAAAUGUAAGUUAUUGGAGUAAUUUUAAAUUGGACAUUUUCUUGGGAUCUCAUGACUGUUACUCUUUGGGAUGGUGCUUAAGUUGUUACUCUUUGACAUUGUUAA